ACGUAGGGUGCGAGCGUUAAUCGGAAUUACUGGGCGUAAAUCGUUCGCCGUCUGUUCUCCCAGCCAGGUGUGAAAUCCCCGGGCUUAACCUGGGAAUUGCGCUUGAAACUAGCGGGCUUGAGUGUGGCAGAGGGGGGUGGAAUUCCACGUGUAGCAGUGAAAUGCGUAGAGAUGUGGAGGAACACCGAUGGCGAAGGCAGCCCCCUGGGUCAACACUGACGCUCAUGCACGAAAGCGUGGGGAGCAAACAGGA
rnacentral:rRNA from 1 species